UGCCGCACAGGCCCGAGCGGCAGUGAGAGUGAGAGCAGGAGCACGCUCCGCGCACCAAACCCCCGAGACGCCUCAAAACGCAGGCAAAGUGGAAGUGGAAUCGAGUCAAAUCGACCACUUCUCUGGCAAGCCCGCAGGCCGCAGCCCCUCCUCUCUCCAAGAGCCGCCGCGGCUGCUCCCCCCCUAGCAAACCCGCCAUGGCCGAGCGCCUCGCAGCAUCCGCCGCCACCCUCCGCGCCUCGGCCGCCGCCACCCCAUUCGCCCGCCGCGCGGCGCCGGCCAACCGCGCCUUCUUCUCGCCUUCGCUAGCUCGCGCGCGCGUCGGCCUCCGCGCCGCGCCCUCUUCGCUCCCACAGAAGGCGAGGGCAGUGAGGUGCGCGGCUGUGGCGAUGGCGUCUGACGCGGCUCAGGUGAAGGCCGCACGCGAGGACAUCAGGGAGCUUCUCAGGACGACUCACUCCCACCCCAUCCUGGUCCGUCUAGGAUGGCAUGAUGCUGGUACGUAUGACAAGAAUAUUGAGGAGUGGCCACAACGAGGUGGAGCUAAUGGAAGUUUAAGAUUUGAUGUUGAGUUGAAACAUGGAGCCAAUGCUGGUCUGAUAAAUGCUCUAAAGCUUAUCCAACCAAUCAAGGACAAGUACCCUAGUAUCACUUAUGCAGAUUUAUUUCAGUUGGCAAGUGCUACAGCAAUUGAGGAAGCUGGUGGCCCAAAGAUUCCAAUGAAAUACGGACGAGUUGAUGUUACAGGACCUGAGCAGUGCCCCCCUGAGGGGAAACUUCCUGAUGCUGGCCCAAGUUCACCUGCUGACCACUUGAGGGAGGUAUUCUACAGAAUGGGCCUUAAUGACAAGGAAAUUGUUGCCUUGUCUGGAGCACAUACACUUGGAAGGUCCAGGCCUGAACGGAGUGGCUGGGGGAAACCAGAAACAAAAUAUACUAAAAAUGGUCCUGGUGCACCUGGUGGGCAAUCAUGGACAGUUGAAUGGCUGAGGUUUGAUAACAGUUACUUCAAGCAAUACUUCAGGAUAUCAAAGAGAAACGAGAUCAGGAUCUUCUGGUCCUACCUACAGAUGCUGCUUUAUUUGAGGACCCAAAGUUCAAGGUCUAUGCGGAGAAAUAUGCAGAGGACCAAGACGCAUUCUUCAGAGACUACGCUGAGGCUCAUGCUAAACUGAGCGAAUUGGGUGCAAAGUUCCAACCACCGCAGGGAUUCUCUUUGGAUGAUUAGUGCGGCACCAGAACCACAGUCCGUGAAACAGGAAAACCCUGUCCUUGAAAAGGAUCAAGAGGGAGCAUACAAUUCAUUGUUCUUCUCAUAUCAUCGUACAAGAUGGACUGGUCCCCCUUUUCAUGAUGCUAUAUGGAGUCUUCUAAUUUAGCUAGAUUUCUGAACCGAGCUUGCAAAUAAAAAAGAACCGACACAGUGGCACUACAUAAUUUUCAGAUCCAUUGGGAGAACUGACACAGUGCUAUCAGAUUUGGUUUUAUCCCUUCCACAUGACGCUCUGCGCUGCUGUCAAUUUUCUACUAUUAGCACCA